rnacentral:tRNA from 1 species
GCAAUGGUGGUUUAGCGGUAGAAUACUCGCCUUUCAUGCGGGAGACCUGAGUUCGAUUCCUGGCCAGUGCA